rnacentral:sRNA from 1 species
UGUGGAGGAAAAGUUAGAUAACGAAACAAGAAUGGAUAAAACGAAUUUGAACCUCGAUGAAUCCGAACUUAAUGAAGAAGGGGAUGUUUCAGAAGCAACGCAAAUUGUGAGUGUGGUUUAUGAUAAAUGUGUACUUAUGCAGGAUACCAUGGACGAGGGGGAUGAGGCCACAAAGUUUGUGCCUACUUCUGUGAUAGUAGAAUCUCCAGUGAAUGAGGUAAAUGAUGCUAGGGAUGAGGUAAAUGUUGUGGAGGUAAACCCAGAGACCAAUAAUAUGGAGGAUCAAAGGAAUCUGAACCAUGAUGGAUUUCAACCCGUUGAAAGUAAGAAUGAAUCAGAAUCAACAGAAGUAAUAAGCACUGUUUCUAGUGAUCAUGUAAUUAUGCAAAACAUCGUGGAAGAGGGAGAAAAGGUCAGUGAGUUUGUGCCUGCUUCUGAGAUAGUAGAAUUUCCAAUGAAUGAGGUAAAUGUUGAUAGGGAUGAGGUAGAUGAAGAUCAAAGUAAUUUGAAACAUGAGGAAUCUCAAGCAAUGGAAGGCUGCAAUGUCUCAGAAACUACAGAAUUGGAAGAUGAGGUCACAAAGUUGGUGUUUACUUCUGAAACAGUAGAACCUUGCCAGACUCAUUCUGCUGCUGAGAUUUUGGUUUCUGAAAAUACCAUUGAUACUUCAGUUCUGCAAGAGAUAACAACUCUCCAACAUGAAGAUGACAGUGAUAAACUUAAUUCCAUGAGCAUUGGUGGCGAUGAUGAACUUCAUAAACCUGGGAUUUCAUUGAAGGAACAGGUUGGUAGAGAAGUGAAAACGGAUAUUUGCUGUAGCAGCAGUUCAACAGCAAGUGAUGUGCCUCAAAACAUUGAACAAACUGAUGAGCAUGACAAAGCAGAUGGGCCUGGUUCGUCAGAUUCAGAAAUAGCACCCACAAAUCCUGUUGUUUUCAAGCUGUUUGGGAAGGUAAUGAUGGUUCCUUCAUCAGCAGAGAAGCAUGAUUUAACU